UCGUUGUAUACGAGUAGAAGCCGUACCGUGAGGAGCGGUGGAUUGUAUAGAAGUGAGAAUGCCGGUGUGAGUAGCGAGAUGUAGGUGAGAAUCCUACACACCGAAAGCCCAAGGAUUCCAGGGGAAGGUUCGUCCGCCCUGGGUAAGUCGGGACCUAACGCGAGGCCGAAAGGCGUAGUGGAUGGAAAGCAGGCGAAAGAUUCCUGCACCCGUAUAUGGAGCGAAGGAGUGACGGAGACGGAUAGUGUGACCCACUUAAUGGAUUGAGGGCGAAGCGAAGCGGCUGGUUACCAGGUAAAUCCGGUAACCUUAAGGCUAGAGCGUGACAGGUAAGCGAAAUCUAAGGAAAGUAGCGAAGCACAUGAUGACGGCUUCCAGGAAAAGCUUCUGGCAAUGCAUAUGCGGCCCGUACCAAAACCGACACAGGUGGGCAGGGAGAGAAUCCCGAGGUGAGCGAGAGAACUGUUGCCAAGGAACUCGGCAAAAUGACUCCGUAAGUUAGCGAGAAGGAGUGCUUAAGCAAUUAAGCCGCAGUGAAGAGGCCCAAGCGACUGUUUAACUAAAACACAGCUCUCUGCGAAGUCGCAAGACGAAGUAUAGGGGGUGACACCUGCCCGGUGCUGGAAGGUUAAGAGGAUCUGUUAAGAGCGAUCUGAAGCAGUGAUCCGAAGCCCCAGUGAACGGCGGCCGUAACUAUAACGGUCCUAAGGUAGCGAAUUUCCUUGUCAGGUAAGUUCUGACCCGCACGAAAGGUGUAACGAUUUGGGCGCUGUCUCGGCAGCAGACUCGGUGAAAUCUUAGUACCUGUGAAAAUGCAGGUUACCCGCAACUAGACGGAAAGACCCCAUGGAGCUUUACUGCAGCCUGAUAUUGAAUUCUGGUCAUACAUGUACAGGAUAGGUGGGAGACAAAGAAACGUGCACGCCAGUGUACGAGGAGUCGACGUUGGGAUACCACUCUUGUGUGACCGGGGUUCUAACCUGGUAUCGAGAACAGGUACGGGGAGAGUGUCAGGUGGGCAGUUUGACUGGGGCGGUCGCCUCCCAAAGAGUAACGGAGGCGCCCAAAGGUACGCUCAGAUUGGAUGGAAACCAAUCGACGAGUGCAAUUGCAGAAGCGUGCUUGACUGUGAGACAGACAAGUCGAACAGGGACGAAAGUCGGGAAUAGUGAUCCGGCGGUGCCGAAUGGAAGGGCCGUCGCUCAACGGAUAAAAGCUACCCUGGGGAUAACAGGCUGAUCUCGCCCAAGAGUUCACAUCGACGGCGAGGUUUGGCACCUCGAUGUCGGCUCAUCGCAUCCUGGAGCUGGAUUCGGUUCCAAGGGUUGGGCUGUCCGCCCAUCAAAGCGGUACGCGAGCUGGGUUCAGAACGUCGUGAGACAGUUCGGUCCCUAUCUGUUGUGGGCGAAGGAGAUCUGCGGAGAGCUGUCCUCAGUACGAGAGGACCGGGAUGGACCUACCGCUGGUGCACCGGUUGUUCCGCCAGGGGCAUAGCCGGGUAGCUAAGUAGGGAAAGGAUAAGCGCUGAAAGCAUCUAAGCACGAAGCCUACUCCAAGAUGAGAUCUCCCAUUCGCAAGAAGUAAGACCCCUUAAAGACGAUAAGGUAGAUAGGUCAGGGAUGGAAGUGCAGUGAUGUACGGAGUUGACUGGUACUAAUCGGUCGAGGACUUAAUU
rnacentral:rRNA from 1 species